ensembl:snRNA U6 U6 spliceosomal RNA
GUGCUUGCUUCAGCGGCACAUAUGCUAAAAUUGGAAUGAUACAGAGAAGAUUAGCAUGGCCCCUGUGCAAGGAUGACAGGCAAAGGCAUGUUUUUCUCUCUCUUUCA